rnacentral:rRNA from 1 species
UGCCAGCAGCCGCGGUAAUACGGAGGGGGCUAGCGUUGUUCGGAAUUACUGGGCGUAAAGCGGGUGUAGGCGGAUUGGUCAGUCAGAGGUGAAAGCCCAGGGCUCAACCCUGGAAUAGCCUUCGAUACUGCCAGUCUUGAGUAUGGGAGAGGUGAGCGGAAUUCCGAGUGUAGAGGUGAAAUUCGUAGAUAUUCGGAGGAACACCAGAGGCGAAGGCGGCUCACUGGACCAUUACUGACGCUGAGAUCCGAAAGCGUGGGGAGCAAACAGGAUUAGAUA